AUUGAACGCUGGCGGCAGGCCUAACACAUGCAAGUCGAGCGGAGCGGCGGACGGGUGAGUAAUGCCUAGGAAUCUGCCUGGCCGUGGGGGCUAACGUCCGGAAACGGGCGCUAAUACCGCAUACUAUCAGAUGAGCCUAGGUCGGGUUAGCUAGUUGGUGGGGUAAAGGCCUACCAAGGCGACGAUCCGUAACUGGUCUGAGAGGAUGAUCAGUCACACUGGAACUGAUACACGGUCCAGACGCCUACGCGAGGCAGCGAUGGAGAAUAUUGGACAAUGGGCGAAAGCCUGAUCCAGCCAUGCCGCGUGUGUGAAGAAGGUCUUCGGAUUGUAAAGUACUGUCAGCGGGGAGGCGUUACCCGCAGAAGAAGCACCGGCUAACUCCGUGCCAGCCGCCGCGGUAAUAC
rnacentral:rRNA from 1 species